rnacentral:tRNA from 1 species
GGAGCUGGUAUCUCAGUGGUAGAUUGUAUGCUUUGUAUGUAUGAUGUCCUGGGUUCUAUCCCCAGGUCUCCG